GCUCCAAUAGCGUAUAUUAAAGUUGUUGCAGUUAAAACGCUCGUAGUCGGAUUUCGGGGCGGGCCGCCGGUCUGCCGAUGGGUAUGCACUGGCGGGGGCGCUUCCUCCGGAGACGGCUGCUACUCUUAACUGAGCGGUGGCCGGAGACGGGAUAUUUACUUUGAAAAAUCAGAGUGUUCAAGCAGGCCUUUGCCAUUGUA
rnacentral:rRNA from 1 species